CGGACGGAUAGGCCGACGGGCCGAAAACGGGAAUGCCGUCAACCCGCUUCCGUCCGCACCUUAUGACGG
rnacentral:sRNA from 1 species